rnacentral:tRNA from 1 species
AGCCCGAUAGUCUAGCGGUCAAGGAUUCUGCCCUCUGGAGGCAGAGACGGGAGUUCGAAUCUUCCUCGGGCUA